GUCCACGCCCUAAACGAUGAUCACUGGGUGUUGGGGAAGCGAUUCCUUGGUACCGUAGCUAACGCGUGAAGUGAUCCGCCUGGGGAGUACGGUCGCAAGAUUAAAACUCAAAGGAAUUGACGGGGACCCGCACAAGCGGUGGAUGAUGUGGAUUAAUUCGAUGCAACGCGAACAACCUUACCUACCCUUGACAUGUCCGGAACCCUGCUGAGAGGUGGGGGUGCCCGAAAGGGAAUCGGAACACAGGUGCUGCAUGGCUGUCGU
rnacentral:rRNA from 1 species